UGCCGGAUCAUCUAAUGGUAGGAUGCAUCCCUCUGGAGGAUGUCAUCUUGGUUCGAAUCCAAGUCCGGCAGCCA
rnacentral:tRNA from 1 species